UAGAAUGUUAAGAGAUGUUUGACUACUUCACGAGGAGAUGGGAUCUGCAUUGAAAUACUACAUCGAAUAUUGAGGAUUUGGAGACUGAAUAUUAACACUUAGAGGAUGAAUGUUGGCAGUUGUUGACACCGGAAAUCAACAUUGCAUCUGUUGGAGUAUAUUCGAAUGUUUUCAAGUGGCAAUGAAUCCCUUUGAUUCUGAUAUUAUCUAUCUAUGGAGUCAAAAACACUCUUGUUUUGUAUCUGGUAACUUGCGGACACAAGAGUUGACAGUUCAUCAUUCAUCAGGAUUCGGAGGAUUGGACUAGUGAUGAAGGUUGUUGUCGCAUAAACACUUCUGGUUUUAAGCAGUAUAUGAAGUAUACGGAACAUUGUUCUCGUCGCUACAACAAAACUUCUAUCAUCAUGUUACCUCAAUUUGUGGUCUCACGGUGGAUGGAUUCCGUACACCUUCCUCCAAAUUCUGAUUUAACUCUUUCUAUUGGUAUAAUACAAAACAAGGUGUUUACGUAUUUUGUUUUAUCCUUGUUUAGCUAGCUUUCUCUAGGUCUAGCUACUCUUUUGUGAUGAAUGACUUGUGCCAUCU